rnacentral:rRNA from 1 species
GACGAACGCUGGCGGCGUGCUUAACACAUGCAAGUCGAACGGUAAGGCCCCAGCUUGCUGGGGUACACGAGUGGCGAACGGGUGAGUAACACGUGGGUGACCUGCCCCGCACUUCGGGAUAAGCCUGGGAAACUGGGUCUAAUACCGGAUAGGACCGCACCGUGAGGGUGUGGUGGAAAGUUUUUCGGUGUGGGAUGGGCCCGCGGCCUAUCAGCUUGUUGGUGGGGUAAUGGCCUACCAAGGCGGCGACGGGUAGCCGGCCUGAGAGGGUGGACGGCCACAUUGGGACUGAGACACGGCCCAGACUCCUACGGGAGGCAGCAGUGGGGAAUAUUGCACAAUGGGCGGAAGCCUGAUGCAGCGACGCCGCGUGGGGGAUGACGGCCUUCGGGUUGUAAACUCCUUUCACCAUCGACGAAGGUUUUCUGACGGUGGAUGGAGAAGAAGCACCGGCUAACUACGUG